rnacentral:lncRNA from 1 species
AAUGGAGUAAGAAGGUGGAGAUGGGGGAAAGAGCAUAUUAUACAGUGGAGAGAAAGCUGGACUUGAAGUAUGAAAACAUCUUUACAUGUGGAAUCUUCUUCUUUUGUAACCUUCUGGUUUCUGCCCCAGAACUGCAGGCUCAGGAAGUGAAUUCAAGAGGAUAAGAAGAAUCCAGAACUAAAAAAAGAACUCAUGAUUGGCACAAGCAAGCAGAUGCUCAUGGAGAUGAUUAUAGCUUAGAAAUCAACAUUGAAAAUAAAGAAUGAAAAACUAAGAAAAUUUUGGUGAGAA